rnacentral:rRNA from 1 species
GACGAACGCUGGCGGCGUGCCUAAUACAUGCAAGUUGAGCGCUGAAGGUUGGUACUUGUACCGACUGGAUGAGCAGCGCACGGGUGAGUAACGCGUGGGGAAUCUGCCUUUGAGCGGGGGACAACAUUUGGAAACGAAUGCUAAUACCGCAUAAAAACUUUAAACACAAGUUUUAAGUUUGAAAGAUGCAAUUGCAUCACUCAAAGAUGAUCCCGCGUUGUAUUAGCUAGUUGGUGAGGUAAAGGCUCACCAAGGCGAUGAUACAUAGCCGACCUGAGAGGGUGAUCGGCCACAUUGGGACUGAGACACGGCCCAAACUCCUACGGGAGGCAGCAGUAGGGAAUCUUCGGCAAGGGACGAAAGUCUGACCGAGCAACGCCGCGUGAGUGAAGAAGGUUGUCGGAUCGGAAAACUCUGUUGGUAGAGAAGAACGUUGGUGAGAGUGGAAAGCUCAUCAAGUGACGGUAACUACCCAGAAAGGGACGGCUAACUACGUG